rnacentral:rRNA from 1 species
AGAGUUUGAUCAUGGCUCAGGAUGAACGCUGGCGGCGUGCCUAACACAUGCAAGUCGAGCGAUCUUCUUCGGAAGAGAGCGGCGGACGGGUGAGUAACGCGUGGGUAACCUGCCCUGUACACACGGAUAACAUACCGAAAGGUAUGCUAAUACGAGAUAAUAUGCUUUUAUCGCAUGGUAGAAGUAUCAAAGCUUUUGCGGUACAGGAUGGACCCGCGUCUGAUUAGCUAGUUGGUAAGGUAACGGCUUACCAAGGCGACGAUCAGUAGCCGACCUGAGAGGGUGAUCGGCCACAUUGGAACUGAGACACGGUCCAAACUCCUACGGGAGGCAGCAGUGGGGAAUAUUGCACAAUGGGCGAAAGCCUGAUGCAGCAACGCCGCGUGAGCGAUGAAGGCCUUCGGGUCGUAAAGCUCUGUCCUCAAGGAAGAUAAUGACGGUACUUGAGGAGGAAGCCCCGGCUAACUACGUGCCAGCAGCCGCGGUAAUACGUAGGGGGCUAGCGUUAUCCGGAAUUACUGGGCGUAAAGGGUGCGUAGGUGGUUUCUUAAGUCAGAGGUGAAAGGCUACGGCUCAACCGUAGUAAGCCUUUGAAACUGGGAAACUUGAGUGCAGGAGAGGAGAGUGGAAUUCCUAGUGUAGCGGUGAAAUGCGUAGAUAUUAGGAGGAACAUCAGUUGCGAAGGCGGCUCUCUGGACUGUAACUGACACUGAGGCACGAAAGCGUGGGGAGCAAACAGGAUUAGAUACCCUGGUAGUCCACGCCGUAAACGAUGAGUACUAGCUGUCGGAGGUUACCCCCUUCGGUGGCGCAGCUAACGCAUUAAGUACUCCGCCUGGGAAGUACGCUCGCAAGAGUGAAACUCAAAGGAAUUGACGG